ACUGACGGCCCUCGCGGCCAAUGAGCGAGCGGCGCUGUGGAGCAGGCAGCCAUUGGGCGCGCCCGCAAGUGCGGAGGAUGCGUAGUAGCUAUAGGCGCCGCUGCCGCCGUAUUCAAGAGUCAGUAGCUUCGCGAGCGCCAUCGGUAGAGGAGUCUCCCGCGGCUCCCUCCGUGCUGCAGUCCGGCAGCCCAGUCUCGGCGCCUCCGGCCCGCCGCCCCGUCCGCGCAGCGGGCACGGCGGAGCCCAGCUGGUGGACCCGCGCUGUGCUCGGCUACGCCUUCCUCCCCCCGCGCAGGCGCCAGUGGCACCGACCUUGCUCCCCGGCCUCGGAUCUCCUCGCGCCCGCUGGGCUCCCGGCGCCGCAAACGCCGCUUCGCGCCUCUCCCGCGGCGGGCGGAGGACGGCAUUCGGCUCGGAUUUGGAGCCGCCGCCGCGGCCGGACCUGCGCCCGUCCAGCUCGGCCGCUUCCAGCCUGGCGCCGUCGAGCGGCGCGACCGGGACCACCGCCGCCGCCGCGGGGCAGCCGUGGAGGAGCAGCUCGUCCGCCGCAGCGCGUGGGGCAGCCUGUCCCCCGCCGACCGCAUCUCCACAAGGCCGCCGAGAGCCCGGCCGGGAAGCGGCUCCCGCCGCGGCGGAUCUGCGGCGGAGCGUCCAGAGCGGGCCCCCGCUUCAGGGGUGAAGGCGACAGCGACGGCUCUGCGGGUCGGAAGGUAUCCUAACACAGAAACUGGAACAAGGAGUGCGUGACAGACCUGAAAUGUGGCACUGCUAGAGUCCGUGCAGGAAAGGCCACAGUGGAGGUGUCCGGAUCAUUCACUGAAAAGCUGGAAUCCUUGGCUGGAGGAUGUCGCUUUUUCCUCUGCAAACCGUUUCUAAAUGGGGCACAUUCAAGCUUGCCUCUCUUCCUUUCUACCAACUUGCCCUCCAUAUGGAGCCACCAUCUUAUCUUCAGCCUUAGGCAUUGCAAGCAAGGAUGUCUCUCUGUGGGAAUCUGCCCACCCUCACUGGAAAAGGGAGAUUCCUGCUAACACUUCUGCCUGCUCUGAAACGCUGGAGGCAGCUUCCUUCUCCUUCCAUCACCAGGAGUUCUUCCUCAGAAGGAGUAUUAGACAAUCACUGUCUCCACUAGGCUGACUCUGGUGUAUAAUUCUCUGCUUUCACCUCUGUCUUCCCCCACCCUCCCCUCCAGGCACCCAGAAGAGCUUCCCUUCCCUUGCCCACCACCCUAAUCCACCCCACUCACCUUUCCUCACCUGCGGAAAAGUGGGCAAGAGCCACUGUCCUAAAGCCUGAGGACUCAAGGGGAGCUAGGCAGAAAGCCCUGACACAUUCCCUGAUCUGGCUUAACCACUGCUGAAGUUGAUACUGUAUUCUGAUGCUUUACUGGCUCCUGGAGCCUGGAAGGGAGGGUGUGAGUCAUCAGCCCCUCCAAUCUAGGCAGCACUUCAUGCAGUUGUAUUAUAAUAAGUUAUCUGUUAUCUUUCCCACACAGCACUGAGAAAUUUGAGGGCAGAAUCUGAUUUACUUUGGAUUUCCAGAGCACGUAGCACAUGCCUUGCUCAUGAUGUGGAUCUCACAAAUAUGGAAUUAAAUCUUGAAUACACAGUUCCUCAAAGUCCAGUUAAUAAGUGUAUUACAUGUGAAUAAAUGUUUCUAGAUGUAUGUAUGCAUAUAUGUAUGUGUGUACAUAUAAAUAUGUAUGUGUGUAUGUAUAAUAUCUGUAAUAGUAAAACAUUAAAAGA